ACCAGAUACAGCUGCGAGUAUUCUACUCAACCACUGUCAUGAGUCAUGGACUCAUGGCCAAUGCUCACGACGCAACCCCCAAAUUCCGCCACCACCGUCCUGGUAGAGGCAGACUCGUCGUAGCCGCGUAAUAUUCUACCCCACCUGCCGUUGUACCACCUCUACCACGACUAGUACCAGGGCCGAGGGGGGACUCAGUCACAGCGAAGAAGGGUUUGUCUUGUCGGCCUUCGCUGCCACCUCCUCCCCCGCCACCGCGCCCACCUUCUCCGACGCUCGGCUCCUCCGCGCCCUCCCCGCCGUCUCCGCGCGCCCUCCGGCGAGCCUGCGGGUCGGCGACGCCCUCGCCGGACCCCCGAGGGAGGCGGGCUCCCGGCCUGCUGAGCCCUGCCAGCAGGGCUGCUGCCGCCGCCGCCGGAUCGCUGGCACGGCCGCCCCGAUCCGCGAGGACUAGAGCCGCCGCCCGCGGAUUUGCUACAAGUUCUUCAGCGGUGCGGAAACCAUUCUGCUAACAAGUUCCAUCGCCGCCAAAAGAUACUGACAGCCCCCAUGGCAAAGCCCGGCAUUCUAGGCCGGAGCAGCAGCAUGCCAAGAUCAAAUGAAGGCAUGAGGCUCGUAUUCUCAGCAGUUAUCGGUAUUAUGCUAGGUUACUUGUUUGGGAUAUCCUUCCCUACAGUCAAUAUAACCAAGCUUCAUUUCCCUUCCAGUAUUGUUUCCUAUAUUGAAGAUAGAAACUCCGGAAUCACAACCCAAACAUUGUUGAACCAUGCAUGGACAUCUGCAAACAGUCACAAGAAGAACAAUUCUGAUUCCAAGUCUGAUGAAAUUCCUAAGAUUUAUGUUACCUCAAACCCUAAAGGUGCUGAAAGGCUCCCACCAGGUAUUGUCGUAUCUGAAACAGACCUCUAUCUGCGAAGAUUGUGGGGUGAACCUAGUGAGGAUCUUACUAUCCAGCCAAAGUACCUUGUUACAUUUACAGUUGGAAUCGCGCAAAAGGCAAAUAUUGAUGCAGCAGUCAAAAAGUUCUCGGAGAACUUCACAAUUAUGUUGUUCCACUAUGAUGGUCGGACUACUGAAUGGGAUGAAUUUGAGUGGUCAAAAAGGGCCAUCCAUGUGAGUGUUAGCAAGCAAACUAAGUGGUGGUAUGCCAAGAGAUUUUUACAUCCUGAUGUCGUUGCCCGGUAUGACUACAUAUUUAUCUGGGAUGAGGAUCUAGGUGUUCAACAUUUCAAUGCAGAGGAGUACAUCAAGCUUGUUAGGAAGCAUGGGCUGGAGAUCUCUCAACCUGGUUUGGAACCUGAUAGAGGUCUGACAUGGCAAAUGACUAAGCGGCGUGGUGAUCGAGAAGUUCACAAAGUAACCGAGGAGAGGCCAGGCUGGUGUUCUGACCCCCAUCUGCCACCGUGUGCAGCAUUCGUAGAAAUUAUGGCAACUGUGUUCUCUAGGGAUGCAUGGCGCUGUGUAUGGCAUAUGAUCCAGAACGACUUGAUCCAUGGAUGGGGUCUUGAUUUUGCUCUUAGGAAAUGUGUGGAGCCGGCUCAUGAAAAAAUUGGAGUUGUUGAUGCUCAAUGGAUUGUUCAUCAGGGUGUUCCAUCACUUGGCAACCAGGGCAAGUCGGAGAAUGGAAGAGCACCAUGGGAAGGGGUAAGAGGACGGUGUAGAAAAGAGUGGGGGAUAUUCCAGGCAAGGCUGGCCGAUGCCGAGAAGAAGUAUUACUUGGAUCAAGGGAUCACGCCACCAAAUUCGACUUCAGUCUAGACGAAAUCACACGGUGCACAGGAACCAUAUUAGGUUUCUGUUCAGGAAACCUGGCCCUUACGUGCUCAGUAUCGUUCAUGAAAAUAGCAGCUGCCUACUAGUAUAGCUGAAGCUCCGGGGCCAGAUCUGUACAUGGGUUACCCACUUACCACGACGACCAUCAAG
rnacentral:rRNA from 1 species